rnacentral:tRNA from 2 species
GGGGACGUGGCGGAAUUGGCAGACGCGCAUGAUUUAGGAUCAUGUGCCGCAAGGCGUGGAGGUUCGAGUCCUCUCGUCCCCA